rnacentral:rRNA from 1 species
AUUGAACGCUGGCGGCAUGCUUUACACAUGCAAGUCGAACGGCAGCACGGGGGCAACCCUGGUGGCGAGUGGCGAACGGGUGAGUAACACAUCGGAACGUGUCCAGUUGUGGGGGAUAACCCAUCGAAAGGUGGGCUAAUACCGCAUGAGCUGGCAACAGGAAAGCGGGGGACCCGCAAGGGCCUUGUGCGAUUGGAGCGGCCGAUGUCCGAUUAGCUAGUUGGUGGGGAAAGGCCUACCAAGGCUUCGAUCGGUAGCUGGUCUGAGAGGAUGAUCAGCCACACUGGGACUGAGACACGGCCCAGACUCCUACGGGAGGCAGCAGUGGGAAUUUUGGACAAUGGGGGCAACCCUGAUCCAGCCAUGCCGCGUGAGUGAAGAAGGCCUGG